AUUGAACGCUGGCGGCAUGCCUUACACAUGCAAGUCGAACGGCAGCACGGGUGCUUGCACCUGGUGGCGAGUGGCGAACGGGUGAGUAAUACAUCGGAACAUGUCCUGUAGUGGGGGAUAGCCCGGCGAAAGCCGGAUUAAUACCGCAUACGAUCUACGGAUGAAAGCGGGGGACCUUCGGGCCUCGCGCUAUAGGGUUGGCCGAUGGCUGAUUAGCUAGUUGGUUGGGUAAAGGCCUACCAAGGCGACGAUCAGUAGCUGGUCUGAGAGGACGACCAGCCACACUGGGACUGAGACACGGCCCAGACUCCUACGGGAGGCAGCAGUGGGGAAUUUUGGACAAUGGGCGAAAGCCUGAUCCAGCAAUGCCGCGUGUGUGAAGAAGGCCUUCGGGUUGUAAAGCACUUUUGUCCGGAAAGAAAUCCUUGGCCCUAAUACGGUCGGGGGAUGACGGUACCGGAAGAAUAAGCACCGGCUAACUACGUG
rnacentral:rRNA from 1 species